rnacentral:rRNA from 1 species
GCGGACAAUCCGCAGGGAAGGCCGAUCCCGGAAACGGGGUCGGAACCCUCAGAGACUUUACGCCGGUCCCGCCGCAAGGCGGUGAAGAUAAAGUCCGACCCCCAUGGCGACAUGGGGAGGCCGCGAGAAAUCGCGACCCGCCUGUUCCCUCGUAGUGAACACGAACGUGUACGCGCGAGGGAGAGGUCUCGAAAGCAACAGACGUGAGCGUAAUACCUUGUCGCUUAAUUGGCGACUUGCAUGAAGGCCCAACGAGAGCUCUCCUGUCCCCGCGUGGAGGCCGGUGAAACUGACGUACUGGCGCACAGUCCAGUACCUUCCACCUGAAAGCGAAGACCCCGUGGAGCUUUACUGCAGUCUGUCGCUGCCGUAUGAGUUUGGAUGUGUAGCGUAGGCGGGACUCGUUACAAAGGGCCGACCGCUAGGUCGGCACCGAGAGGCCGAUGAAACACCGCCCUUCUGGAUUCGUACGGCUUACCCCUUCGGAGGGACAACGAUAGGUAGGCAGUUUGGGUGGGGCGCCACGCCCUCAAAAAGAUAACAAGGGCGCCCAAAGGUUGGCUUAGGAGGGUCAGAAAUCCUCCGUUAACUGUAAGGGGAAAAGCCAGCCUGACGUGGACUUGCCCAACGAGAGUCCACGAGAGGAAACUCGGGCCUAGCGAACCCAUGAGCCUGAUUUGUGCGGGCCAUGGAUGACAGAAAAGUUACCCCGGGGAUAACUGAGUCGUCUCCGGCUAGAGUUCCUAUCGACCCGGAGGCUUGCUACUUCGACGUCGGCUCUUCCUAUCCUGGUGGUGCAUGAGCUGCCAAGGGUGGGGUUGUUCGCCCAUUAAAAGGGAUCGUGAGCUGGGUUCAGACCGUCGUGAGACAGGUUUGUUGCUUUUUGGUGGAAGCGCUUUGAUGCCUGAGGGGAAGGUCCCUUAAGUACGAGAGGAACGGGGGAUCGGCGCCUCUAGUGUAUGGGUUGUCUGGCAAGGCAUUGCCCAGCAGCCACGCGCCAUGCGGAUAACGGCUGAAAGCAUCUAAGCCGGAAACCGUCCUCAAGACGAGGCAUCUUACGGCCGCGGUAAUCGACCGCGUUGAUAGAGCGGGGGUGUACGCAGGAAGUUCGCAAGAGCGACCUGUUCAGCCCGCCGCCACUAACCGCCGUAGCCACACUA